rnacentral:misc_RNA from 1 species
GAUGAAGAACGCAGCGAAAUGCGAUACUUGGUGUGAAUUGCAGAAUCCCGUGAACCAUCGAGUCUUUGAACCCAAGUUGCGCCCGAAGCCACUAGGCCGAGGGCACGCCUGCCUGGGCGUCACACGUCGUUGCCCCCCCCCCAUCUACUCCUUCGGGAUUGCGGGGGGCGGAUGAUGGCCUCCCGUGCGCCUAGCCGCGCGGUUGGCAUAAAUACCAAGUCCUCGGCGACGCACGCCACGACAAUCGGUGGUUGCGAAACCUCGGUUGCCCGUCGUGUGCGUUCGUCGCGCAUCGAGGGCUCGAAAAAAUGCUCGGCUCCGGCUCGGCUUUCAACGCGACCCCAGGUCAGGCGGGGUUACCCGCUGAAUUUAAGCAUAUCAAUAAGCGGAGGA